rnacentral:rRNA from 1 species
UGGGGAAUAUUGGGCAAUGGGCGAAAGCCUGACCCAGCAACGCCGCGUGAGGGAAGAAGGGUUUUCGGCUCGUAAACCUCUGUCCUAUGGGACGAAGGAAGUGACGGUACCAUAGGAGGAAGCCCCGGCUAACUACGUGCCAGCAGCCGCGGUAAUACGUAGGGGGCGAGCGUUGUCCGGAAUGAUUGGGCGUAAAGGGCGCGUAGGCGGCCCGUUAAGUCUGGAGUGAAAGUCCUGCUUUCAAGGUGGGAAUUGCUUUGGAUACUGAUGGGCUGGAGUGCAGGAGAGGAAAGCGGAAUUACCGGUGUAGCGGUGAAAUGCGUAGAGAUCGGUAGGAAC